GUAACUUUGUCCAUUUUGUCUAAAUCAGAUCCAAACUGAAGAUUGAGGACAUCAAAGAAGCCAACAAAGCUCUUCAGGGGGGUCAGGUUUGGUUGAAGGACAAAGAAGCCACUCACUGCAAGCUCUGUGAGAAGGAGUUCUCCAUCUCAAGAAGAAAGCACCACUGUAGGAACUGUGGGGAGAUUUUCUGUAACAGCUGCUCUGACAACGAGCUUCCUCUGCCAGCGUCUCCCAAACCAGUGCGAGUCUGUGACACCUGCCACGCCCUCCUCCUGCAGCGAUGCUCCUCCAAUCCAACAUGAAAGAGUGCUGCGCCGCUGCCGUGACGGCCUCAAAACAGUCACACUCAUGAGUACCACCUCUUCAGUGUUGUAUAAGAUCCAUAUGCCGACUUAUAUCUACAGUGUUUGCUGCUAAGGGGUGGAGCACAUGCAUUUUAUGAUCCUUACACUUGAUUUGUCAUUUGUUUAAAGGAAGGAAAAAAAGAAAGAAAAGAGCGACAUGUGCAUCUGUCUAACUUGUCGAUGUAGCUGCUUGACUCUGAAUGCAGAACAUCUGCAGAGAGUCUAAAAUAUCUUCCCUUGUAGUCAGACAGAGAAGAGUCUGCUGUAAUAUUAAUAGUUAUGACUGUCAGCCCCAAGUGUAUAUAUAUAUAUUAAGUCUCAAUGAAAAUAACGAAGAAACCAUAUUUAGUUUAUGGUGCACAAUCCAAUGAGCAGGUAACCAUUUGUCGUAACUGCUACUCCAAAAAAUGGUCACUAAAGUAAAAGCUCAAACUCUAAGACUUCAUGAAGCCCAGCCAGCAAUCAGCAGGCUGGUUUUGGUAAAGUUCAGGGGGUAUGAGUGUUUGGUUAUGAAAGCAGAAACAGCUCUGCAGAGGUGGAAGUGAAACUGCACUAUGAUGAACACUCCUUGUAGCUAAAAGCAGACAGUUCUAUGAACCAAACCUCUAAUGCAUCUGUUAGUCCUCAAAGUCUCCACAAUAACUUUAUAGUCAAACAGGUGAGAUUUUAAAGUUUGCACAUGCAGUAUGGUGGCCUUGCUACGGCUGUCGGCUCGGACUCCUUUGCACCUUCUUUUAAGAUGGAUUUAAAAGAACUCAAUUAAGAGUUAAAAUGCCUCAGACAGCAUUUAAGGAAGAAAAGAAUUGUGCCACAAAACAACAACAAAAAAUCACUUUCUGUCACCGUUGUAGCAGCAGGUGGUUGACAGACAAAUCACCACAGAACGAAGAUGGUCAUGGCCUCAUAAAAUAGGCUAAAGGCCUCUUUUUAUCUGAAGUACUGGAGUUAUUUAUUAAACCUGACUUUGACAGAGAACUAAUGUUAUGUCCUGACAUGACAUGUUGCACUUUGGGACCUUAGACUGUAUAUAAAAGAUGGACUCACUAGUUAGCGAAGCCCUUAUGUGAGCUGAGUGUUUCUCGUUUCUCAUCUCGAUGUUUGGGGGAUGCCCCGUUUAUACACACUGAUUCUACAGGUUGGACUGAACAGGACUUGCUGCAGUCUUUUCCUGAACAAUAGAUGUCAUCACUCAGGAGAAACCUCCACCUCAGCGCUGGUAUAGAAGUAGAAGUAGUCUCAUCUCAUUGAGCUUGAGCACAAAAAUGGAGGUGCACAACCAGCCGAAACGACACUAAUGUGUGGCACACCCCAGCAGUUGUGAUGUCACAUUAUGCGCAGAAGGGAAGGGAUUAACCAGGUUUUUAAGUCACAAAGUAGGUCUACCUAAAAGGCAUAAACUGCUUUUUUUUUUUUU